UCGGGAAUUAUGGGCAAUGGGCGAAAGCCUGACCCAGCAACGCCGCGUGAGGGAUGAAGUAUUUCGGUAUGUAAACCUCGAAAGAAUGGGAAGAAUAAAUGACGGUACCAUUUAUAAGCUCCGGCUAACUACGUGCCAGCAGCCGCGGUAAUACGUAGGGAGCAAGCGUUGUUCGGAUUUACUGGGCGUAAAGGGCGCGUAGGCGGCGCGGUAAGUCACUUGUGAAAUCUCUGAGCUUAACUCAGAACGGCCAAGUGAUACUGCUGUGCUAGAGUGCGGAAGAGGCAACCGGAAUUCUUGGUGUAGCGGUGAAAUGCGUAGAUGUCAAGAGGAACACCUGAGGCGAAGGCGGGUUGCUGGGCCGACACUGACGCUGAUGCGCGAAAGCCAGGGGAGCAAACG
rnacentral:rRNA from 1 species